UACGUAGGGUGCGAGCGUUAAUCGGAAUUACUGGGCGUAAAGCGUGCGUAGGUGGUUCGUUAAGUCUGAUGUGAAAGCCCUGGGCUCAACCUGGGAAUUGCAUUGGAUACUGGCAGGCUAGAGUGCGGUAGAGGAUGGCGGAAUUCCCGGUGUAGCAGUGAAAUGCGUAGAGAUCGGGAGGAACAUCUGUGGCGAAGGCGGCCAUCUGGACCAGCACUGACACUGAGGCACGAAAGCGUGGGGAGCAAACAGG
rnacentral:rRNA from 1 species